rnacentral:rRNA from 1 species
ACGGCUGAGUAACACGUAGGUAACGUGCCCUUUACUGGGGGAUAACAUCGGGAAACCGGUGCUAAUACCGCAUAAGUAAAGAGUUGAAAUACUUUUUAUUAAAGAAUUUCGGUAAAGGAUCGGCCUGCGUCUGAUUAGCUAGUUGGUAGGGUAAAGGCCUACCAAGGCAAUGAUCAGUAGUUGGUCUGAGAGGAUGACCAGCCAGAGUGGGACUGAGACACGGCCCACACUUCCACGGAAGGCAGCAGUAGGGAAUUUUGCGCAAUGGGCGAAAGCCUGACGCAGCAACACCGCGUGUAGGAUGAAGGUUUUAGGAUCGUAAACUACUGUCAGCAGGGAAUAAUUUUGACUGUACCUGCAGAGGAAGCAUCGGCUAACUACGUGCCAGCAGCCGCGGUAAGACGUAGGAUGCAAGCGUUGUCCGGAAUUAUUGGGCGUAAAGAGUUCGUAGGCGGUUAUCUAAGUCUGGUGUUAAAGCCCGAAGCUCAACUUCGGCAUGGCAUUGGAAACUGGAUGGCUAGAGUGUGGUAGAGGUAUCGGGAAUUCCUGGUGUAGCGGUGAAAUGCGUAGA